UGAGAGGCCGAUUCACCCGCUCCUUCGCGGGAGAUGGUCCUCUGACUCCUCGCUUUCUCGAGGUUGUUAACUCUUUGUUCCAUGGUAUCCAUGAAGUUAAUCAACCUCGCCUCUAGAGCGGGAGGGAUGGAUGUCCGAGGGGGCAAAUCAGUUUGAGCCUCCUCAAACCCCUCAGCUUGCCUGUUUUGCUGAGGAGGCUCAGUUUGUGCCCUAUCGGGUACCAUUGGGGAUUUGCCUUUGUUCCUCGGAUGGUAGUCGUG
rnacentral:lncRNA from 1 species